rfam:Erinaceus europaeus unplaced genomic scaffold scaffold00740, whole genome shotgun sequence
UUAAAGGCUCUUCUAAGAGCCACCCACUUUGUCCCUAGAAAAGGCU